UCGGAUAUGGUGUAACGGCUAACAUUGCCGCCUCUCAUGGUAACGAAGCAACGCUCCUAUAUAUAUGUGAUCGCGGCAGCUCGGGGUUCGAUUCCCCGUAUCCGAA